rnacentral:rRNA from 1 species
UACGAAGGGGGCUAGCGUUGUUCGGAAUCACUGGGCGUAAAGCGCACGUAGGCGGAUUGUUAAGUCGGGGGUGAAAUCCUGAGGCUCAACCUCAGAACUGCCUUCGAUACUGGCGAUCUCGAGUCCGGGAGAGGUGAGUGGAACUGCGAGUGUAGAGGUGAAAUUCGUAGAUAUUCGCAAGAACACCAGUGGCGAAGGCGGCUCACUGGCCCGGUACUGACGCUGAGGUGCGAAAGCGUGGGGAGCAAACAGG